CCCAGACUCCUACGGGAGGCAGCAGUGGGGGAUAUUGCACAAUGGGGGCAACCCUGAUGCAGCGACGCCGCGUGAGCGAUGGAGUACUUCGGUAUGUAAAGCUCUAUCAGCAGGGAAGAAAAUGGCGGUACCUGACUAAGAAGCCCCGGCUAACUACGUGCCAGCAGCCGCGGUAAUACGUAGGGGGCAAGCGUUAUCCGGAUUUACUGGGUGUAAAGGGAGCGUAGACGGCAGCGCAAGUCUGAAGUGAAAUCCCAUGGCUUAACCAUGGAACUGCUUUGGAAACUGUGCAGCUGGAGUGCAGGAGAGGUAAGCGGAAUUCCUAGUGUAGCGGUGAAAUGCGUAGAUAUUAGGAGGAACACCAGUGGCGAAGGCGGCUUACUGGACUGUAACUGACGUUGAGGCUCGAAAGCGUGGGGAGCAAACAGGAUUAGAUACCCCGGUACUA
rnacentral:rRNA from 1 species